AUUCGAUUAGAGUUUGAUCAUGGCUCAGGACGAACGCUGGCGGCGUGCCUAAUACAUGCAAGUCGAACGCUUCUUUCCUCCCGAGUGCUUGCACUCAAUUGGAAAGAGGAGUGGCGGACGGGUGAGUAACACGUGGGUAACCUACCCAUCAGAGGGGGAUAACACUUGGAAACAGGUGCUAAUACCGCAUAACAGUUUAUGCCGCAUGGCAUAAGAGUGAAAGGCGCUUUCGGGUGUCGCUGAUGGAUGGACCCGCGGUGCAUUAGCUAGUUGGUGAGGUAACGGCUCACCAAGGCCACGAUGCAUAGCCGACCUGAGAGGGUGAUCGGCCACACUGGGACUGAGACACGGCCCAGACUCCUACGGGAGGCAGCAGUAGGGAAUCUUCGGCAAUGGACGAAAGUCUGACCGAGCAACGCCGCGUGAGUGAAGAAGGUUUUCGGAUCGUAAAACUCUGUUGUUAGAGAAGAACAAGGACGUUAGUAACUGAACGUCCCCUGACGGUAUCUAACCAGAAAGCCACGGCUAACUACGUGCCAGCAGCCGCGGUAAUACGUAGGUGGCAAGCGUUGUCCGGAUUUAUUGGGCGUAAAGCGAGCGCAGGCGGUUUCUUAAGUCUGAUGUGAAAGCCCCCGGCUCAACCGGGGAGGGUCAUUGGAAACUGGGAGACUUGAGUGCAGAAGAGGAGAGUGGAAUUCCAUGUGUAGCGGUGAAAUGCGUAGAUAUAUGGAGGAACACCAGUGGCGAAGGCGGCUCUCUGGUCUGUAACUGACGCUGAGGCUCGAAAGCGUGGGGAGCAAACAGGAUUAGAUACCCUGGUAGUCCACGCCGUAAACGAUGAGUGCUAAGUGUUGGAGGGUUUCCGCCCUUCAGUGCUGCAGCAAACGCAUUAAGCACUCCGCCUGGGGAGUACGACCGCAAGGUUGAAACUCAACGGAAUUGACGGGGGCCCGCACAAGCGGUGGAGCAUGUGGUUUAAUUCGAAGCAACGCGAAGAACCUUACCAGGUCUUGACAUCCUUUGACCACUCUAGAGAUAGAGCUUUCCCUUCGGGGACAAAGUGACAGGUGGUGCAUGGUUGUCGUCAGCUCGUGUCGUGAGAUGUUGGGUUAAGUCCCGCAACGAGCGCAACCCUUAUUGUUAGUUGCCAUCAUUUAGUUGGGCACUCUAGCGAGACUGCUGGUGACAAACCGGAGGAAGGUGGGGAUGAUGUCAAAUCAUCAUGCCCCUUAUGACCUGGGCUACACACGUGCUACAAUGGGAAGUACAACGAGUCGCUAGACCGCGAGGUCAUGCAAAUCUCUUAAAGCUUCUCUCAGUUCGGAUUGCAGGCUGCAACUCGCCUGCAUGAAGCCGGAAUCGCUAGUAAUCGCGGAUCAGCACGCCGCGGUGAAUACGUUCCCGG
rnacentral:rRNA from 1 species